CUCCUUACAUAUUGCCAUUGAAUAAAGAUAAGAUAAAAGUAUAUUUCUAGGUCAUCAUGUGAGUGUUAACAAUCAGUUAUAUAGAACAUCUUGGAUAUAUGCAGCCAGCAUUCUGACUGACCAGUUACAGAAACUUUCUGACACUGCAAGAGCUGCUGAAGGUUUUCUGCAAUGGAUGAACAAGCUUUCAAAGCCCAACUUGAUGCUGUAAGAGCUGUAGCAGAGAGAUCAAUGGUAGAAGAAAGAGCACGGUCUCAAAGAGCAAUGGCUGAACAAGAACGAGCUUUCAAAGCCCAACUUGA